GACGAACGCUGGCGGCGUGCCUAAUACAUGCAAGUCGACCUUAGUGGCGAACGGGUGAGUAACACGUGGGUAACCUGCCCAUCAGACGGGGAUAACACUUGGAAACAGGUGCUAAUACCGUAUACUGAUGGAUGGACCCGCGGUGCAGUAGCUAGUUGGUGAGGUAACGGCUCACCAAGGCCACGAUGCAUAGGCGACCUAGAAGGGUGAUCGACCAAAUUGGGACUGAGAAACGGCCCAAACUCCUACGGGAGGCAGCAGUAGGGAAUCUUCGGCAAUGGACGAAAGUCUGAACGAGCAACGCCGCGUGAGUGAAGAAGGUUUUCGGAUCGUAAAACUCUGUUGUUAGGUAAGCGGUAUCUAACCAGAAAGCCACGGCUAACUACGUGCCAGCAGCCGCGGUAAUAC
rnacentral:rRNA from 1 species